AGAGUUUGAUCCUGGCUCAGGAUGAACGCUAGCGACAGGCUUAACACAUGCAAGUCGAGGGGCAGCACGGUGUAGCAAUACACUGGUGGCGACCGGCGCACGGGUGAGUAACACGUGUGCAACCAACCCCGUACCGGGAGAUAACCCGCGGAAACGUGGACUAACAUCCCAUAAUACUGGAGGAUCGCAUGAUCUUUCAUUUAAAAUUCCGGUGGUACGGGACGGGCACGCGCGACAUUAGGUAGUUGGCGGGGUAACGGCCCACCAAGCCGACGAUGUCUAGGGGUUCUGAGAGGAAGGUCCCCCACACUGGAACUGAGACACGGUCCAGACUCCUACGGGAGGCAGCAGUGAGGAAUAUUGGUCAAUGGGCGAGAGCCUGAACCAGCCAAGUCGCGUGAGGGAAGAAUGGUCCAUGGCCUGUAAACCUCUUUUGUCAAGGAAGAAUAAAUUGCACGUGUGCGAUCUUGCCAGUACUUGACGAAUAAGCAUCGGCUAACUCCGUGCCAGCAGCCGCGGUAAUACGGGGGAUGCGAGCGUUAUCCGGAUUUAUUGGGUUUAAAGGGCGCGUAGGCGGGACGCCAAGUCAGCGGUAAAAGACUGCAGCUAAACUGUAGCACGCCGUUGAAACUGGCGCCCUCGAGACGAGACGAGGGAGGCGGAACAAGUGAAGUAGCGGUGAAAUGCUUAGAUAUCACUUGGAACCCCGAUAGCGAAGGCAGCUUCCCAGGCUCGAUCUGACGCUGAUGCGCGAGAGCGUGGGUAGCGAACAGGAUUAGAUACCCUGGUAGUCCACGCCGUAAACGAUGCUCACUGGAUCUUGGCGAUACACUGCCAGGGUUCAAGCGAAAGUAUUAAGUGAGCCACCUGGGGAGUACGUCGGCAACGAUGAAACUCAAAGGAAUUGACGGGGGCCCGCA
rnacentral:rRNA from 1 species